rnacentral:tRNA from 1 species
GGUCCAUUCGUCUAGUGGUUAGGACGUCAGGUUUUCAUCCUGGUAACAGGGGUUCGAUUCCCCUAUGGACUACGA